rnacentral:rRNA from 1 species
AUUGAACGCUGGCGGAAUGCUUUACACAUGCAAGUCGAACGGCAGCACGGACUUCGGUCUGGUGGCGAGUGGCGAACGGGUGAGUAAUGUAUCGGAACGUGCCCAGUCGUGGGGGAUAACGUAGUGAAAAUUACGCUAAUACCGCAUACGAUCUAUGGAUGAAAGCGGGGGAUCGCAAGACCUCGCGCGAUUGGAGCGGCCGAUAUCAGAUUAGGUAGUUGGUGGGGUAAAGGCCCACCAAGCCAACGAUCUGUAGCUGGUUUGAGAGGACGACCAGCAACACUGGAACUGAGACACGGUCCAGACGCCGACGGGAGGCAGCAGUGGGGAAUUUUGGACAAUGGGCGAAAGCCUGAUCCAGCCAUUCCGCGUGCAGGAUGAAGGCCCUCGGGUUGUAAACUGCUUUUGUACAGAACGAAAAGGUUUCUACUAAUACUAGGAGCUCAUGACGGUACUGUAAGAAUAAGCACCGGCUAACUACGUGCCAGCCGCCGCCGUAA